rnacentral:pre_miRNA from 1 species
GUAAACCUGACAACUACCAUUGGAUUGAAAAAUAAACGUCUGAGAUUUGUUCACGUCGUCACGAGUAAAAAAUUUACUAGUAGGUUUACAUUUUUACUCAUGGUGACGUGGACGUAAUCUCAGACGUGCAUUUUUCGAUCCGAUGGUAAUUCCGGGUUUUC